CCCCAACCAAGCCCCAGGUCUUCCCGCUGAGCCUCUGCAGCGAGCAGCCAGAUGGAAACGUGGUCGUCGCCUGCCUGGUCCGCAGCUUCUUCCCCCAGGAGCCACUCAGUGUGACCUGGAGCCAAAGCGGGACCACCACACACUUCCCGCCCAGCCAGGCGGCCCCCGGGGGCCUGUACACCACGAGCAGCCAACUGACCCUGCCAGCCGCGCAGUGCCCGGACACCAAGUCCGUGAAAUGCAGCGUGAAGCACUACACGUACGACACCCAGGAUGUGGCCGUGCCCUGCAGAGCUAUUCCCCCACUCUCAUGUCGCUCGUGCUGCGAGCCCCGACUGUCACUGCACCGGCCGGCCCUCGAGGACCUGCUCCUGGGUUCAGAAGCGAACCUCACGUGCACACUGACCGGCCUGGCCAAUGCCUCGGGCAUCACCUUCACCUGGAAGCCCUCCAGUGGGAAGACCGCUGUCCAGGGGAAACCUGAGCGUGACCUCUGUGGCUGCUACAGCGUGUCCAGUGUCCUGCCCGGCUGUGCCGAGCCGUGGAACCGUGGGGAGACCUUCACGUGCACUGCUGCCUACCUUGAGAACAAUACCUCACUGACCGCCACCAUCACAAAACCAGGAAACACCUUCCGGCCCCAGGUCCACCUGCUGCCGCCGCCGUCGGAAGAGCUGGCCCUGAAUGAGCUGGUGACUCUGACGUGCCUGGCACGCGGCUUCAGCCCCAAGGAUGUGCUGGUUCGCUGGCUGCAGGGGUCCCAGGAGCUGCCCCAAGAGAAGUACCUGACUUGGACAUCCCAACAAGAGCCCGGCCAGGACACCCCUACCUUCGCCGUGACCAGCGUGCUGCGCGUGCCGGCCGAGGCCUGGAACAAGGGCGACACCUUCUCCUGCAUGGUGGGCCACGAGGCCCUGCCGCUGGCCUUCACACAGAAAACCAUCGACCGCCUGGCGGGUAAACCGACCCACGUCAAUGUGUCUGUGGUCAUGGCGGAGGUGGACGGCGUCUGCUACUGAGCCCACCUGUCCCUGCCCCCGAAUAAACUCCAUGCUCCCCCAAGCA